rnacentral:rRNA from 1 species
GACGAACGCUGGCGGCGUGCUUAACACAUGCAAGUCGAGCGGAGCGGCGCACGGGUGAGUAACGCGUGAGUAACUGCCCCCCUCUCUGGGAUAACAGUUGGAAACGGCUGCUAAUACCGGAUAGUGGGGGAUGACUCGCGUCCUAUCAGCUUGUUGGUGGGGUAGUGGCCUACCAAGGCGACGACGGGUAGACGGUCUGUGCGGGCGACCGGCCAAAGUGGGCUGGGAUACGGCCCAAACGCCGACGGGAGGCAGAAGUGGGGAAUAUUGCACAAGGGGGGAAACCCUGAAGCAGCAACGCGCGUGCGGGAGGACGGCCGUCGGGUUGUAAACCGCCUUCAGCCAUGAAGAGGUAGUGGCAGAAGAAGCACCGGCUAACUACGGGCCAGCAGCGGCGGUAAUAC